rnacentral:rRNA from 1 species
UACGAAGGGGGCUAGCGUUGCUCGGAAUCACUGGGCGUAAAGCGCACGUAGGCGGCUUUUUAAGUCAGGGGUGAAAUCCUGGAGCUCAACUCCAGAACUGCCUUUGAUACUGGGAAUCUCGAGUCCGGAAGAGGUGAGUGGAACUGCGAGUGUAGAGGUGAAAUUCGUAGAUAUUCGCAAGAACACCAGUGGCGAAGGCGGCUCACUGGUCCGGUACUGACGCUGAGGUGCGAAAGCGUGGGGAGCAAACAGG